rnacentral:rRNA from 1 species
CCAGUAGUCAUAUGCUUGUCUCAAGGAUUAAGCCAUGCAUGUCUAAGUAUAACCGGAUUAACCGGUGAAACUGCGGAAGGCUCAUUAAAUCAGUUAUAAUCUAUUUGAUAUAUGGGCAACCAGGGAUAACUGUAGUAAUUCUAGAGCUAAUACAUGUAAAUAACCCUGAUCGUAAGGUCAGGGAGCAUACGCCGACGACAAAUCUGACCGUAUUGGGCAACUGAUACGACUCAAGGUGAAUCUAGGCGGAUUAGCUGACCGCAUUGCCUAGAGCAGGCGGCAAUACAUUCGAGUUUCUGCCCUAUCAGCUUUGACGGUAAGGUAUUGGCCUACCGUGGCGAUAACGGGUGACGGGGAAUUAGGGUUCGAUUCCGGAGAGGGUGCCUGAGAAAUGGCAACUACUUCCAAGGAAGGCAGCAGGCGCGCAAAUUACCCAAUACCAAUUCGGUGAGGUAGCGACAAAAAAUAACGAUGCCGGUCAAAUUUGACUGGCAAUCGGAAUGAGUCUAUUACAAAUAGAUUAGCGAGGAUCAAUUGGAGGGCAAGUCUGGUGCCAGCAGCCGCGGUAAUUCCAGCUCCAAUAGCGUAUAUUAAAGUUGUUGCAGUUAAAAAGCUCGUAGUCGGAUUUGUCCUGGUCAAUUAACCGAGUAGGGCGGGAGCCCAUACCGGUAGUUACCAGGUAUUACGUCAAGAACAUCCGUACUCUGCCCUUAACUGAGUGGAGUCGGGACUUGACCGAUUACUUUGAAAAAAUUAGAGUGUUCAAAGCGGGUAAUUUUACCCAGAAUAUUUUAGCAUGGGAUAACAAAAUAAGGCUUCGGUAUAAUUUUGUUGGGUUAUUAACCGAGCAAUGAUUAAUAGAGAUAGUUUGGGGUGUUCAUAUUCCCCGGGGAGAGGUGAAAUUCUUGGAUCCGGGGAAGAUGUACUUAUGCGAAAGCAUUCACCAGGGAUGUUUUCAUUGAUCAAGAACGAAAGUUAGGGGAUCGAAGACGAUCAGAUACCGUCGUAGUCUUAAC